AAGUCGUAACAAGGUCUUCGUAGGUGAACCUGCGGAGGGAUCAUUA
rnacentral:rRNA from 1 species